GCGCGAAAACUUUACAAUGCGGGAAACCGUGAUAGGGGAACUCCGAGUGCCCGUAAAAUCGGGCUGUCCACCAGUUUAAAUAACUGGUGAAGAAAGGGCCGGGCAAGACCGGUGCCAGCCGCCGCGGUAAUACCGGCGGCUCGAGUGGUGGCCACUAUUACUGGGCUUAAAGCGUUCGUAGCUGGUUUGUUAAGUCUCUGGGGAAAUCUUCCGGCUUAACCGGAAGGCGUCUCAGGGAUACUGGCAGACUAGGGACCGGGAGAGGUGAGGGGUACUCCAGGGGUAGGAGUGAAAUCCUGUAAUCCUUGGGGGACCACCUGUGGCGAAGGCGCCUCACCAGAACGGCUCCGACAGUGAGGGACGAAAGCUGGGGGAGCAAACCGGAUUAGAUACCCGGGUAGUCCCAGCUGUAAACGAUGCGCGUUAGGUGUAUCAGUGACCACGAGUCACUGAGGUGCCGAAGAGAAAUCGUGAAACGUGCCGCCUGGGAAGUACGGUCGCAAGGCUGAAACUUAAAGGAAUUGGCGGGGGAGCACCACAACAGGUGGAGCCUGCGGUUU
rnacentral:rRNA from 1 species